GAUGAACGCUGGCGGCGUGCUUAACACAUGCAAGUCGAACGAAGCACUUUGAUCGAUUUCUUCGGAUUGAAAUUUUAGUGACUGAGUGGCGGACGGGUGAGUAACGCGUGGGUAACCUGCCUCACACAGGGGGAUAACAGUUGGAAACGGCUGCUAUUACCGCAUAAGCGCACAGUACCGCAUGGUACGGUGUGAAAAACUCCGGUGGUGUGAGAUGGACCCGCGUCUGAUUAGCUAGUUGGCAGGGCAACGGCCUACCAAGGCGACGAUCAGUAGCCGACCUGCGAGGGUGACCGGCCACAUUGGGACUGAGACACGGCCCAAACUCCUACGGGAGGCAGCAGUGGGGAAUAUUGCACAAUGGGGGAAACCCUGAUGCAGCGACGCCGCGUGAGCGAAGAAGUAUUUCGGUAUGUAAAGCUCUAUCAGCAGGGAAGAAGAAAUGACGGUACCUGACUAAGAAGCACCGGCUAAAUACGUGCCAGCCGCCGCAGUAA
rnacentral:rRNA from 1 species